UUUAGAGGAGAAAUUUUUAGGCAAAAGCCAUACUCUGAACCAGCUGUAGCUAAAAAAAAAAAAAAAAAAAAAAAAAAACUAUCUUCUGCAAAUUCCUCAGGUGUUCAGCCUCAUCUACCCUACUUCAUUUGCAAUUCACAUUGGAUGGAAAUGGUGAAGUUGUGUCUUUUGUCUCUGGAGUCUGGUUUCUCUGGGAUGUUGGAGGAGGACAUUGCUUCUCCUUAGCACACCACAGAGGCAACUCUGACUGAAGGAGGAACGACAUCUCAGAGCUGCCACCCUGAAGCACAACAGAACCCAUGAGGAGAAGGAUCCAGGAAUAGGGAACGUGGAGCCCCACCUUACCAAACAGGUAGGUCCCAGCUUCUUCAGUGGUAUCCCAUCUGACUUCAACCAAGAGGCCCAUAUAGGCGGAAGAGAGGCUUCUUCAACAUCUGAGGGUCCUGAAUAACCUCCAAAAGGAGUUGAAGCCAAAAGGAACCCAGGGAGGCACCCAAUUAGUCUCUGUUUUGGGUCAGCAAGCAUAAGAAAUCUGUGACUCCCUUUCUGUUUGUGUAAUAUGGGGGUUUUAAAAUAUUGCUCUGACCAUUGUUAGGGAAAGAUUGCAAUAAAUCACUGAGUCUGUCUUAAGCAGGAGAUGGAACACUGAUUCACCAGCUGGCAGUCUAGAUUAACCAGCUGGUGGGCUAAGGGGAAGACUGCAAGUUUACACUCUUUAACCCCCUCCAAGUGUUACAGUACACUCUUAGAGUCCAAAACCAUAUUAAUCAUAAGUGGCUAUUGCUAUGAUUCAAACAAACAUCAUGAGAUCUAAUAUCGUAAGCAGAAGGGGAAGAAGGUCAAAACAACAAUAUUUGAGUACCAGUUAAAGGACGGUUACUAAUAUCUAGGCAAUCAUUCUCUGACAGGGUACAUAGUCCAAGAAAAAUGGGAACCAAAGAAUUUUACAUUGCAUAAGAACAGGAAAAAAAAAAGGUGUUUCUAAGCAGGGUGUGCUAAGCAGGAUCAAAAUGGCAGAGGCAGAAUUUUCUCAU
rnacentral:lncRNA from 1 species